GUAUUUAAUAUGUUUUAUCUAGUGUUGAUAUAGUUUAUUAUUGUAUCUAGUUUUAAUAUAUAAUAUCUAGUAUUUUUAAUAUUUCAGUGACAACAACGAAGAUUUUUAACCUCGAUUUUUAAUUAAUUUCUUUCUUUUACUUUAAUUAUCUCUUUUAAUGUAUGACUUAUCUUGUGUUUUAUCUUAUGUCUUAUCUGUAUGUCUUUUUCUAACUUUAGUCUUUUCUUUUUAUGUAGAUAUUUUAUGGUGGAUGAAAGGGAAGAAACAUCACUAGAAUUUCUUCAAUGAAUCUUCCAAGAAGACUCUACUUCUUUGUCACAGCCUGGUGAAGACUUUCAGGAACCUGAUCCAGUUGAUCAUAGUAAUGUGAUUGGACACCAAUGAGAUUCGAUCGACGAAGCUAAUCCAGCCUUCGCGUUUGGAUAGUGAAUAUGACGGUAGAGGGUUGCUCUUCUCACCGUUUCUCUCCCUUUCUUUUCUUGAAACCGACGACACGCAGUCGCGGAGGGGCGGCGCCUUCGAAUGGCAGCAGCAAGAGCGCAAACGCCUUCGGUUUCACAGCGUGCUUCCGGCUUCAACUAGAGCAACAAUCUCGACUAUCAGAAAUCUUUCGACCGUUCUGAAAUAAACCAGGAGAGCACGUCGGAGCUUCCCAUUCGCCUUCGAAAAUGUGUUUACACGGCACUAUACACUUCACCGGAAUAAUUCUCGAUGUCUUUUUGCUCCGUACGAAAACGAACGAGUUUUCCUUGGCGCCUGUAUUGUGAGGUCCACGAUUUCGCGGUAUCGCCUGAGUAAAUUCCAUCCAUCGGCGGGGGUGGCGGCUUUUACAAUUUACUGUUUCCACGUUCCGAUCUAUUUUAAUUAUUGCUGGCGAAGUUAGCCGCGAAAAAUUCCAUAAAUCUUCGUCUCCUGCGGUAAUUAGCGGGAAUACUUUCGACCAGCAGGCAUAAAUCCCGCAAUUCCUUCCAGGAACCUCGGAACAUUGACGACACAAGGUGCAACACAGAUCCAGUGUCUCUCAAGUAACCGAAUUUUUCAAAUCGAAGCGACUAAAAGUUCAUUUCAGAAUGUUUUCCGCGAUAAUUAUUAAAGAGGAAAGAGGAAGAUAACUGGAAUUAAGAAAUUAUUGCAAUUUUAAUGGGUGAUUGUCAAUAGUUUAUUGAUUAUUUAUUGUAGGAAAAUUAUACAGUGGCUGAAAAAUGGUCAGAAAUUGAUUUACAAUCUUGUUACAAUUUUUUAAAUAAUAAUUGAAGAAGAUAGGAGAAGAGGAUGGGAAUUGACAAUCAGUAUCGAUUAUUUAUCAUAAA